rnacentral:rRNA from 1 species
UGGGGAAUUUUGUACAAUGGGGGAAACCCUGAUCCAGCCAUCCCGCGUGUGCGAUGAAGGCCUUCGGGUUGUAAAGCACUUUUGGCAGGAAAGAAACGUCAUGGGUUAAUACCCCGUGAAACUGACGGUACCUGCCGAAUAAGCACCGGCUAACUACGUGCCAGCAGCCGCGGUAAUACGUAGGGUGCAAGCGUUAAUCGGAAUUACUGGGCGUAAAGCGUGCGCAGGCGGUUCGGAAAGAAAGAUGAGAAAUCCCAGAGCUCAACUUUGGAACUGCAUUUUUAACUACCUGGCUAGAGUGUGUCAGAGGGAGGAGGAAUUCCGCGUGUAGCAGUGAAAUGCGUAGAUAUGCGGAGGAACACCGAUGGGGAAGGCAGCCUCCUGGGAUAACACUGACGCUCAUGAAAGAAAGCGUGGGGAGCAAACAGG